rnacentral:rRNA from 1 species
UGGGGAAUAUUGCACAAUGGGCGCAAGCCUGAUGCAGCCAUGCCGCGUGUAUGAAGAAGGCCUUCGGGUUGUAAAGUACUUUCAGCGGGGAGGAAGGUGUUGUGGUUAAUAACCACAGCAAUUGACGUUACCCGCAGAAGAAGCACCGGCUAACUCCGUGCCAGCAGCCGCGGUAAUACGGAGGGUGCAAGCGUUAAUCGGAAUUACUGGGCGUAAAGCGCACGCAGGCGGUCUGUCAAGUCGGAUGUGAAAUCCCCGGGCUCAACCUGGGAACUGCAUUCGAAACUGGCAGGCUAGAGUCUUGUAGAGGGGGGUAGAAUUCCAGGUGUAGCGGUGAAAUGCGUAGAGAUCUGGAGGAAUACCGGUGGCGAAGGCGGCCCCCUGGACAAAGACUGACGCUCAGGUGCGAAAGCGUGGGGAGCAAACAG